rnacentral:rRNA from 1 species
GACGAACGCUGGCGGCGUGCUUAACACAUGCAAGUCGAACGGUAAGGCCCUUCGGGGUACACGAGUGGCGAACGGGUGAGUAACACGUGGGUGAUCUGCCCUGCACUUCGGGAUAAGCCUGGGAAACUGGGUCUAAUACCGGAUAGGACCACUGCCUGCAUGGGUGGUGGUGGAAAGCUUUUGCGGUGUGGGAUGGGCCCGCGGCCUAUCAGCUUGUUGGUGGGGUGAUGACCUACCAAGGCGACGACGGGUAGCCGGCCUGAGAGGGUGACCGGCCAGACUGGGACUGAGAUACGGCCCAGACUCCUACGGGAGGCAGCAGUGGGGAAUAUUGCACAAUGGGCGCAAGCCUGAUGCAGCGACGCCGCGUGAGGGAUGACGGCCUUCGGGUUGUAAACCUCUUUCAGCACCGACGAAGCGCAAGUGACGGUAGGUGCAGAAGAAGGACCGGCCAACUACGUGCCAGCCGCCGCAGUAA